GGGCGAUUAGCUCAGUUGGUAGAGCAGAUGACUCUUAAUCAUCGGGUCGCAGGUUCGAAUCCUGCAUCGCCCACCA
rnacentral:tRNA from 1 species